UAUUAUGCUGCUAUUCACGAGA
rnacentral:miRNA from 2 species